UACGGAGGGGGCUAGCGUUGUCCGAAGUUACUGGGCGUAAAGCGCGCGUAGGCGGUUGGAUAAGCCCUCCGUGAAAUCUCCAGGCUUAACCUGGAAAGUGCAGAGGGGACUGUUCAGCUAGAGGAUGGGAGAGGAGCGCGGAAUUCCCGGUGUAGCGGUGAAAUGCGCAGAUAUCGGGAAGAACACCCGUGGCGAAGGCGGCUCUCUGGGACGGUACUGACGCUGAGACGCGAAAGCGUGGGGAGCGAACAGG
rnacentral:rRNA from 1 species